AAAGCGUUAUGAUGGUGGAAAGUAAUUUCCUAGUCUAGCUUGAAUGCGAAAUUUAUUUCGU
rfam:Lactobacillus wasatchensis strain WDC04 contig00031, whole genome shotgun sequence.